rfam:Apaloderma vittatum contig19602, whole genome shotgun sequence.
GUGUAUAUAGCUCAGUCAGUUGAGUGUAGCGCUAACAACGCUAAGGUCGUCGGUUCGAUUCCCGUUUGGUACC